rnacentral:misc_RNA from 1 species
GAAAUGCGAUAAGUAGUGUGAAUUGCAGAAUUCAGUGAAUCAUCGAAUCUUUGAACGCACAUUGCGCCCCUUGGUAUUCCAUGGGGCAUGCCUGUUCGAGCGUCAUUUGUACCCUCAAGCUCUGCUUGGUGUUGGGUGUUUGUCCCGUCUCCGCGCGUGGACUCGCCCCAAAGUGAUUGGCAGCCGGCGUACUGGUCCCGGAGCGCAGCACAUGUCGCGCAAACGAGUGCCUUGGUACGGCGGCGUCCAUAAGCCCCUCUCUCACGCUCUUGACCUCGGAUCAGGUAGGGAUACCUGUUGAACUUAAGC